rnacentral:rRNA from 1 species
ACGCUCGACACCUACGGGAGGCAGCAGUGAGGAAUAUUGGUCAAUGGACACAAGUCUGAACCAGCCAUGCCGCGUGCAGGAUGACGGCUCUAUGAGUUGUAAACUGCUUUUGUACGAGGGUAAACGCAGAUACGUGUAUCUGUCUGAAAGUAUCGUACGAAUAAGGAUCGGCUAACUCCGUGCCCGCAGCCGCGGUAAUCUGAGCGGGCUGGCAAGGC